CUGAUACCUAUCACUUGCUCAGCCUCUCUCUACCUCUCUCUCUCUUUGCUGGAGUGAGUCAUGAUAGUGAUCAUCAGCUUCCUGUGCAACCCCUCACACUUAUCCUCUGCAGCACACCAAGGAUAUGUUUUGUGCUAGUAUCUUUUGGGGGAGUUUUCCUCUGUGUUCCAGCUGGCCAUGUGCGUCUGUGAUCCAUGUGUACAGGUGGAAAAUUGCUACACUGUAAAGAGCCAACACUAUGAUCCAGGGGCUUCCAGCAUCCGAUAUGCAGAGGAGAUAAGUGUGAGAGCAGGACCCACAGAGUGCACUGAUGGGGCAGAGGCACUUCCACCCUUGUGCUGUUCAAGUUGACAAGAAAACCGCAAAGUAACUUCUGCUACCUCUACUGGAACAAAAGGUGAAGUGAAACUGGUCACAGAGACGGAACACCACAGCAGCCGAGAGCUAAAGGUCCUGACCCUCGGGUCAGCUGAGCAGCAGCAUGUGUGGGACAGAAAAAGCAGCAGUUGAGAGAAGCUCACAGCGCUGGCUGCCUGUGUGGCUUCCCCAUUGGUCGCUGCUUCCUUGUCUGCAGGGGAAGCAGGACAGUGCCAGGGUGCAAUGUUUUAUGAGCUGGUCUCAACCGAACUCACCACAUUCCCACAAGCAUUGCAAUGAAGGACGUGACUCUGGCCACGCAGCUGCUGCAGCCAGACCACAGGCGGCGUGCACUAAGCAUCAUAACACAUACACAUUCACAUAAUAUACUGUAUGCGUACAUAUACAUGCACAUAGACUGGUAGAAAUAUUGACUCACUGUAGUUCCGUUAAGUAACACAAGAAUUGCAAAGAUUUGUUUAAUUAAUGAGGAAUUAUUCAGUCGUUUUGUUUCUGAAGCGCUACAUUUAGCAACUUUAUUUAUUCUUAUGUCGCAAUCUAAAAUAAAAUCUAAAGUUUUUACUUUCUGGCUUUUUCACUCAUAUCUGUUAACCUCAUUAAACAA